rnacentral:rRNA from 1 species
UACGAAGGGGGCUAGCGUUGUUCGGAAUUACUGGGCGUAAAGCGCACGUAGGCGGAUGAUUAAGUCAGGGGUGAAAUCCCGAGGCUCAACCUCGGAACUGCCCUUGAUACUGGCCAUCUCGAGUCCGGAAGAGGUUAGUGGAAUUCCCAGUGUAGAGGUGAAAUUCGUAGAUAUUGGGAAGAACACCAGUGGCGAAGGCGGCUAACUGGUCCGGUACUGACGCUGAGGUGCGAAAGCGUGGGGAGCAAACGGG